AGGCAGCUUGCUGGACUNUAACUGACGCUGAGGCACGAAAGCGUGGGGAUCAAACAGGAUUAGAUACCCUGGUAGNCCACGCCGUAAACGAUGAAUGCUAGCUGUUAGCGAUAUACUGUUAGCGGCACAGAGAAAUCGUUAAGCAUUCCACCUGGNGAGUACGCCGGCAACGGUGAAACUCAAAGGAAUUGACGGGGGCCCGCACAAGCGGAGGAACAUGUGGUUUAAUUCGAUGAUACGCGAGGAACCUUACCUGGGCUUAAAUUGCAGUGGAAUAACGUGGAAACAUGUUAGCCUUCGGGCCGCUGUGAAGGUGCUGCAUGGUUGUCGUCAGCUCGUGCCGUGAGGUGUCGGCUUAAGUGCCAUAACGAGCGCAACCCUCAUCGAUAGUUACUAACAGGUUAAGCUGAGGACUCUAUCGAGACUGCCGACGUAAGUCGUGAGGAAGGUGGGGAUGACGUCAAAUCAGCACGGCCCUUACGUCCAGGGCUACACACGUGUUACAAUGGGGGGUACAAAGGGCAGCUACCUGGCGACAGGAUGCUAAUCUCAAAAACCUCUCUCAGUUCGGAUUGGAGUCUGCAACCCGACUCCAUGAAGCUGGAUUCGCUAGUAAUCGCGCAUCAGCCACGGCGCGGUGAAUACGUUCCCGGGCCUUGUACACACCGCCCGUCAAGCCAUGGGAGCCGGGGGGACCUGAAGUAUGCAACCGUAAGGAGCGUCCUAGGGUAAAACUGGUGACUGGGGCU
rnacentral:rRNA from 1 species